CAGGUUCGAAUCCUGCCUCGGGCGUGGAUGUGUGUGAUGUCCUUAGGUUAGUUAGGUUUAAGUAGUUCUAAGUUCUAGGGGACUGAUGACCACAGAUGUUAAGUCCCGUAGUGCUCAGAGCCACUUGAACCAUUUUGAACAAUGUAACACUGGAAUUUGCUUAAUUUUUUAGCUCUUCCAGGAGCUCCUCGACAGAAUAGAAGGAGUGAGCCAUGAGGAAACUCUUCAGUUUAGACUUAAAUGAAUUUGGGCUACUGCUAAGAUUUUUGAGUUCUUGUGGUAGCUUAUUGAAACUGAUGCAGCAGAAUACUGCACUCCUUUCUGCACAAGAGUCAAGGAAGUGCAUUCCACAUGCAGAUUGGAUUUCUGCCUAGUAUUAACUGAGUGAAAGCUGCUAACUCUUGGGAAUAGGCUAAUAUUGCUAACAACAAACGACAUUAAAGAAAAUACAUACUGCGAGGGCAAUGUCAGAAUUCCCAGACUAUUGAAUAGGGGUCAACAAGAGGUUCUCGAACUUACACCACACAUAGCUCGAACAGCCUGUUUUUGGGCCAAAAAUACCCCUUUUGAAUCAGAAGAAUUACCCCAAAAAAUAAUACCAUAUGACAUAAGCGUAUGAAAAUACGCGAAGUAGACUUCUUUUCAUGUUGAAAUGUCACUUAUUUCAGAUACUGUUCUAAUGGUAAAUAAAGCAGCAUUUAGUUUCUGAACAAGAUCCUGGACAUGGGCUUUCCACAACAGCUUACUAUCUAUCUGAACACCUAAGAACUUGAACUCUUCUGUCUCACUUAUAAUAUGCCCAUUUUGUCUGAUCAAAAUAUCGGUUCUUGUUGAAUUGUGAGUUAGAAACUGUAAAAACUGAGUCUUACUGUGAUUUAGCAUCAAAUUAUUUUCCUCAAGCCACGAACUUUUCAUGAACUACAUUAUUUGAUAAUGUUUCAAUAUUACACACAAGAUCCUUCACUACCAAGCUGGUGUCAUCAGCAAACAGAAAUAUUUUAGAAUCACCUGUAAUACUAGAAGGCAUAUCAUUUAUAUAAAUAAGAAACAGCAGUGGCCCCAGCACCGACCCAUGGGGAACGCCCCACUUAACAGUGCCCCAUUGGGACUGAACAUCACUACCACUCUCAAUAUUGCGGAGAAUUACCUUCUGCUUUCUGUUCUUAAAGUAAGAGGCGAACCAAUUGUAAGCUACUCCCCUUACUUCAUAAUGGUCCAACUUCUGCAGUAAUAUUUUGUGGUCAACACAGUCAAAAGCCUUCGUUAAAUCAAAGAAAACACCUAGCGUUCGCAACCUUUUAUUUAAUCCAUCCAAAACCUCACAGAGAAAAGAGAAUAUAGCAUCUUCAGUUGUUAAACCAUUUCUAACACCAAACUGAACAUUUGACAGCAAAUUAUGUGAAUUUAAAUGCUGCAGUAACCGUGUAUAUACGACCUUCUCGGUAACUUUAGCAAACACCGAUGGCAUAGAAAUAGGUCUAAAAUUGUCAACAUUAUCAAUGUCUCCCUUUUUAUAAAGUGGCUUCACUACCGAGUACUUUAAUCGGUCAGGAAAGUGACCACUCCUAAAGGAAAAGUUACAGAUAUGGCUAAGUACUGGGCUAACAUACAUAGAACAAUACUUCAGUAUUCUGCUAGAUACCCCAUCAUAUCCAUGAGAGCUCUUGGUCUUUAGUGAUUUAAUUAUUAACUCAAUCUCCCUCUUGUCAGUAUCAUGGAGGAGCAUUUCAGGUAACAGUCUCGGAACACUUUUUUCUAAGAGCGCUAUAUGAUUCCCUGUUGGGACUAGGUUUCUAUUUAGUUCACCUGCUAUAUUCAGAAAGUGAUUAUUAAAUAUAUGCAUUAUUAAAUAUACACACAUAUAUGCGACUUAUCAGUAACACGGACAUUCCCACUACGCACUGAUUCUGUAUCCUCAACCUGUCUCUGCAGACCAGCCACUUCCUUUACGACUGACCAUAUGGUUUUAAUUUUAUCCUGAGAAUUAGCUACUCUACCUGCAUACCACAUACUUUUUGCCUUCCUAAUAACAUUUUUAAGCACCUUACAAUACUACUUGUAUUGGUCUGCUGCAUUUAGAUUUUGACUGUUUCUAACGUUUUGAUAUAAUUGCCACUUUGUUCUACAAGAUAUUCUUAUCCCCCCCGAGUCAGCCACCCAGGCUGCCUGUUUGUGCUAGUACCCUGUUUUGAACGUUCUAAUGGAAAGCAACUUUCAAAGAGCACGAGAAAAGUCUUGAGAAAAGCAUUAUAUUUAUUGUCUACUGUAUCAGCGCUAUAAACAUCUUGCUACUCUUGUUCCUUGAUAAGGUUUACAGAGGUCUCUACAGCUACUGGAACAGCUUUCCUAAACAGCUGAUGACUAUAUUUAACACGUCUUGCGGCACAAAAAUCUUUUAGAGUUAAAAUUUGUGCAUCAUGAUCUGAAAGGCCAGUCACCUUUUUGCUAACAGAAUGCCCUUCUAGUAAUGAGGAAUGAACAAAAAUGUUGUCUUUGCACGAACUUUUCAAACGCCCCUCGUAUGUCAAGUGUACGUAACAGACAUUCACCAAAGAGGACUGUGACGAAAAUUAGGAGACGACAGCUGCAAAAGGCACCGCAGAACUGAAUGUUGCACUUGUGAACACUGUCAGUGACAAAACAGUGUAAAGGGAGCUCCCAAAACAGGGAAUUGCAUGGCAAGCUGGAAUUCCAAAACCACUCACCAGUGAUGCAAAUGUCCGUAACAAAAAACGUGGUGCCGGAGCCAUAAAACUUGGGAUAUGCAGCAAAGGAAUGAAGUAAUUUGCUUUGGUGAGUCUUUCACACUGUUUCCAAUUUCUGUUCAAGUUUAAAUCCCAAAGAGCAAAAUGUGUAGGGGGUUUGCUAAUGAUUUGAGCAGCUAUACUGCAGUAUUCGAUGGGCCUCACAAGGGAUUUGCAAGGUCGCGUGACUGCCGAUAUUUAUUUUACCAUUUUGGCUAAUCAGGUGCAUCUCGUGGUACAGUGUUUGUUUCCUAAUUGCGAUGCUGUGUUGAGAGACGGCAGGACCCCUCUUCACACAGCUUGCAUCGUCCAGGACUAGUUUUGUGAGCACGAGGAUGAAUUGUCGCAUCUCUACUCACCACCACAGUGACCGGAUCCCGAUAUGGCAUAUCCUUUGUUGUCUGCUUUGGAAAGAAGGGUGCGUGAUCACUGUCUGCCUCUACCGUCAGGGCGACUGGUAUAAGAUUAUCUGGAAAAUCAUACAGGACCUGGAUUUAUUCGUUGAGAUAUGACUGGAAUAUGUUUUGAAUGCCCACAGUUUUCCUACAGCUUGUUAGGUGUGGAAAUGUGUGUUGUGUUUGUGGUGUUUCCAUAUUUGUGUCCACCUCCUGUGUGUAAAAGACAAGUGAAACCUCAGCUACACUAUGUGAUCAGAAGUCUACGGACACCUUGCUGAAAAUGACUUAAAAGUUCAUGGAACUCUCCAUCGGUAACGCUGGAAUUCAGUAUGAUGUUGGCCCACCCUUAGCCUUGAUGACAGCUUCCACUCGCAGGAAGGUUUCAUGGGGAAUGGCAGCCUAUUCUUCACGAAGUGCUGCACAGUGGAGAGGUAUUAAUGUCAAUGUUCCAAAACAUCCCUAAGGUAUUUGUAGGAUUCUGGUCAUGACUCUGUGCAGGCCAGUCCAUUACAGGGAUGUUAUUGUCAUGUAACCACUCAGCCACAGGCCGUGCAUUAUGAACAGGUUGCUCGAUCGUGUCAAAAGAUGCAGUCGCCGUCCCCCGAAUUGCUCUUCAACCGUGGGAAGCGAGAAGGUGCUUAAAACAUCAAUGUAGGCCUGUGCUGUGAUAGUGCCACGCAAAACAAUGAGGGGUGCAAGCUCCCACCAGGAAAAACACGACCACAACGUAACACCACCGCUUCCGAAUUUUACUGUUGCCACUACUCACGCUGGCAGAUGAACUUCACCGGGCAUUCGCCAUACACAUACCCUGCCGUCGGAUUGCCACAUUGUGUAUCAUGAUUCGUUACUCCACACAAUGUUUUUUCCACUGUUCAAUUGUCCAAUGUUUACACUCCUUACACCGAGCGAGGCAUUGUUUAGUCUUUAUCCGGCGUAAUGCGUGGCUUAUGAGCAGCCACUUGACCAAGAAAUCCAAGUUUUCUCACCUCCCUCCUAACUGUCAUAGUACUUGCAAUGGAUCCUGAUGCAGUUUGGAAUUCCUUUGUGAUGGUCUAGAUAGAUGUCUGCCUAUUACCCAUUACAACCCUCUUUAACAGUCAAUGGUCUCUGUCAGUAAACAGAUGAGGUUGGCCUGAAUGCUUUUGUGCUGUACGUGUCCCUUCACGUUUCCACUUUACUGUCACAUCGGAAAUGGUGAACCUAGGGAUGAUGUUAAGGAGUGCAAAAAUUUUGGGUACAGAUGUAUGACACAAGUGACACCCAAUAACCUGACCAGGUUCAAAGUCCAUGAGUUCCGGAGCGCCCCAUUCUGCUCUCUCACGAUGUCAAAUGACUACUGAGGUCUCUGAUAUUGAGUACCUAGCAGUAGGUGGCAGCACAAUACACCUAAUAUGAAAAACGUAUGUUUUUGCAGGGGUGCGGAUACUUUUGAUCACAUAGUGUAUAAAUGACAGACAUAAGGUGCUGCAUUACAACAUGAUUAGGAGCCAGACUACAAUCAUGGCUGCCACUGCAGAUUUUCUUAGAAUGAUGUUAAUCACAGAUUUUUUAAAUUCCUUCACCAAAAAAGAUAAAGUAAAUUUUUCAGAAUUUGAAUCAAGAACAGCUGCCAACAUGAGUAACUUAGCAGUUAGAUAUCUUCGGUAAAGCAAAGCAGCUGAAAUUGCUUAACCAAAGCAAGUCUUCUGGUCCAGAUAGUACAUCAGUUAGCUACCUUUAAGACUAUGCUGAAAUAUUAGCUGCAUUCUUGACAAAAAUUCUUACACCCGCUUGGUCAAUGAAAGAUCUGUACCUCAAGACUGUGACACCAGUACUCAAGAAAGGAAACUGAAGUAAUCUGCUAAGCUGCAGGCCCACAUCACUGACACUGAUUUACAGUAUUAUUUUAGAACUGUUGUCAAAAGUUAUGAAUUACCUCGAAGAAAAUGAUCUGUUCACACACAGCUAGCAGGGUCUAGGAAAUAUCAUUUCUGUGGAACGCAACUAGCUCUUUAUUCACACGAAAUAAUGAGUGUCAUCGACGGGGGAUCUCAAAUUAAUUGUAUAUCUGUAGAUUUUCAGAGAGCUUUUGACACCAUUGCUCACAAUCAACUUCAAACCAAAUUGUGUUUCUAUGGAGUAUUGUCUCAGUGUGCAACUACAUUUGUGAUUUCAUGUCAAAAAAGUCACAGUUAAUAGUAAAUGAUGAAAAAUAAUAGAGUAAAACAUGACAUUCUUCACUGAAGUGUUACAGGUGAUCUGCUGCUCCCAAUCUACACAAAUGAUUUAGUAGACAAUCUGAGCAGCGCUCCUAGAUUGUUUGCAGAUAAUGCUAUCGUUUACCAUCUAGUAAAAUCAGAAGGUUACAACUGAUUGCAAAGUGAUUUAGACAAGAUACCUGCGUGGAGCAAAAAGUGGCAGUUGACUCUAAAUAAUGAAAAAUGUGAGGUUAUCCACUUGCAGACAAAAAGGAGUAUGCUAAAUUUCGGUUACACAAUAAAUCACGCAAAUCUAAACACUGUCUGUUCAACUAAAUACAUAGGAAUUACUGCUAUGAACAACAUAAACUGGAAGAUCAAUUACAUAGAUAACAUUGUGGGAAGGUGAGCCAAAGAGUGUGUUUUAUUGGCAGAACACUUAAGAGUGUGCAACAGGUGUGCUAAAGAGAGUGCCUGCACUAUGCUUAUCUUUCCUCUUCUGGAGUCUUGCUGGUUGACACAGGAUGCUUACCAGAUAGCACUGACAGUCCAAAGGAGAGCUGCUCAUUUUGUGUUAUCGUGAAAUAAGGGAGGAGGGGAGUGUCACGGGUAUGAUACUCAAGUUGGGGUGGCAGUCAUUGAAUGGAAGGCAGUUCUUAUUGUGGAGAGAUCUUUUCAAAGAAUUUCAAUCACCAAUUUUCUCUUCCAAAUGCAAAAUAUUUUUUUGAUGCCCACCAGCACAGGGAGAAAUGGUCAUAGUGAUAAAAUAAGAGGAAUCAGAGCUCACACGGGAAUACUUAUUUAUUCGUUUUACCUACAUUUUUCCUGAGUGUGGAACAGUAGAGAAAUAGUCUGAAGGUGGUGCAAUGAACCCUCCACCAAGCAUUUAAAUGUAAAUCACAGAUUAGUCAUGUAGACAUACUUCCGAUGUGUAUUUAUAUUGUCUGAGAAACAAAAUAGUCCAUUGUCACACAUGUAAUGCUCUCUCGCUCACUACAUGCAAGUAUAUGUCUUCGUGGACUGCUGAAAGAGCUGAUAUUUUUGUGUUUCAUAUAAAACUACAUUUUAUUUUUAUGGUUAUAAAAUAUGUAACAAAAAGACUAACCAAUUUUUUAAAAACUGACUGAUGUACAAAGAUGUUCUUUGAAAUAAACAAAUUCCUCCAGC